rnacentral:tRNA from 2 species
AAAAUCCGUCGACUUUUAAAAUCGUGAGGGUUCAAGUCCCUCUAUCCCCAACCCCA